rnacentral:rRNA from 1 species
UACGUAGGGACCAAGCGUUGUUCGGAUUUACUGGGCGUAAAGGGCGCGUAGGCGGCAAUUCAAGUCAGCUGUGAAAUCUCCGGGCUUAACUCGGAAAGGUCAACUGAUACUGUGCGACUAGAGUGCAGAAGGGGCAACUGGAAUUCUCGGUGUAGCGGUGAAAUGCGUAGAUAUCUGGAGGAACACCGGUGGCGAAGGCGGCAUCCUGGACCGGCACUGACGCUGAUGAGCGAAAGCCAGGGGAGCAAACGGG